rnacentral:lncRNA from 1 species
GAGUGUAUGUAUAUGUAUGAUUGGGUCACUUUGCAGAAAUGGAAAGACCAAUGUGAAUAAACUAUAAUAAGUUUUUGUAAAAAAUCCUAACAUUUGAUUUUUAUUGCCUCCAUGGUUGCAAGAGAGAGGAAGACAGAGAGAUGUAAGAUCAGACAUAAAACACAUGCAGGCCCCAAAGGCUGAAAUGUCAUAGAAAGGGAUGGUGUCUUUUCUUUUAUAGGCAAGCUUCUGCCAACGUAUGAUGUAAAGACCAUUCAGGGUCUAAAUCACUUAGAAACAAGCACCUUGAACUCCUCACGAAGCCUCUCAUGAUCUGCUUGCCAUGGCGACUCCAGAUUAACCAAGGCCAAGGGCAGUGUCAUCGACUGCCACGGGGCUGAGGUGUGAGUCCCAAAAGGGAAGGAAGCUAAGCCCUUCCAGCCCAGGAAACCCGGUUGACCCCUCAGAGCACAGGCCCCAGAAAGUCCCAGCUUGCGAGUUGCCCCGGGGCCCGAGCAGCUUUGCCACAGUCACGAGACUGGACCCGUGCGCACAGCCUGGAGCGCUUGGCCUGCAGAGUGGGAAAGCAGUUCCCUCUUUCUCGGACUGCUUCCCUUUGUUGUCCGUGGGCCACGGAGGCUCUGGGGGCAGUGGGGGAGGUGUGAUCUGGAGCCUUGCCAUAGGCCCCAACCCGGAGCCACUGACCCCAGCCGCUUGGACGACGCCAGUCGGGAGGCUGGCCUUGACUCUAUCUAAUCCAACAGGCACUUACUCAUCACGUGGCCCUGUCCAAAAAUAACACACACUGGGGGCCUUGGGGACACCAGGCCCAGCUAGCGAGAGGCCCUUGCAGGCCCGGGAACCCACCUUCCUGUUUGCCUUCCUGGCCACCAGCAUCGCAGCACCUCCCCAGAGCACUGAGGGCCCAUUGGGUGUUCCUGGACUGGCAUCCUUCUGGGAGCCCAGUGCCCACCACUGACCGGCCACUGGCUGUGUGAACUGUCAUGCGUGGUCACCGAAAGGCAGCAAUGCCUGGAGUCAGGAGAACUGGGAGGAGCCAGCCUAUCACAUGCCACCAGGAUGCUGGCCCGGGCCAGCCCUGAAGCUCUUUUCUCAUUAUAUAAAAUCCUAGUAGCUUAGGGAUGCCAGGAGCACUGGUAGUGCUUUGUUUGAAUUCAGGCCUGUCGUUCACCUGCAGUGUAAACGUGAGCUUGUCGUAUUAUCAGUGAAGCCUGGGUUUCCUCUUCCUGAAAAAGAGAGUCGUUCUUGUGUGACAGUGUUGGGGUGGCGCUGAGGUAGCAAUGGACCUAGAGUCCCUGCCAGGGCCCAGCAAGGCCUUCUCCCAGCUCUUGGCAUUAUUGCUUCACUCCACAAGGACUUGAACCAUGGGUGCAGGUGUUUUCUGCACCUAGUGUGCAUCGUCUGCCAGUUGGGAGAGAGCUUUUGGAGGUGAGGCAGAGUAAUUCGAAUCAGGAUUAUUGCCCCCAGUUCGGGAAUGUGUGGUAGCAGUCAGUGCAUGUGGGCUUUUUGGAGUCACAGUAGUAGCAGUCACAGCAGUAACAACAGUGGUGGUAGUAACAGCCAGUGCAGUAGUGAUAGCAGUAAUAGUAGCAGUCACAGUAGCAGCAGCAAUCAUGAUAGUAUUAGUGGUGGUGUGGUACUACACCAACAGGAGUGGUAGCAGUGCAGUAAUAACACCGGUAGUUGAUACUUGCAGUACUAAAGUAGUAGUGGUGGUAAUGGUACUAGCAAUUGUAGUAGUACUACUAGUAGUAGCAGCCAACCUUGAUUAUGCUCAAUUCUCCCAUGGACCAACAUCUUGACUUCUCCCAACUGUCCUAAGAGAGCCGCUCUUGCCUACGUGCAACAGAAAAUGAUUGGUUUUGAUGCCCCUAGUCAUGUGCAUCUUAUUUUAUUGAAGUAUCGUUGAUUUGCAAUGUUGUGUUAAUUUCUGGUGUACAGCAAAGUGAUUCAGUUUUAUGUGUGUAUAUACAUUCUUUUCCAUUAUGAUUUGUCGCAGGAUAUUGAAUCUGGUUCCCUGUGCUGUGCAGUAGGACCUGGUUUCUUAAUCCAUCCAAUACUUAAUAGUUUGUAUCUGCUAAUCCCAAACUCUCCAUCCAUCCCUACCCACCCCCACCCCUGGCAAUCACAAGUCUGUUUUCUGUGCCUAUGUUUCUGUUUCGUAGGUAUGUUCAUUUGGGUCGUAUUUUAGGUUCCGCAUAUAAGUGAUAUCACAUGGUGUUUGCCUUGCUCUUUUUGACCUCGCUUCGUGUGAUAAUCUCUAGGUCCAUCUGUGUUGCUGCACAUGGCAUUAUCUCAUUCUUUUGAUGGCUAAUAGUCCUUUUUAUAUACGUGCCACAUCUUCUUUAUCCGUCCUUCUGUAGAUGGACAUUUAGGUUGCUUCCGUGUCUUGGCUGUUGUGAAUAGUGCUGCAGUGAACCCUGGGGUCCAGGGCUCAUAGUUAGAUGCACAGUUGUUUCUUUCCAGUCUGGGCUGUGAAAAAGUCCAUCAACAACAAUCACCUGGUUGGGACCUCACCAGGUCAUGCUCCUGUCUCUGUGGUGCCAGGAAAGCAGACACCCAGCAAGGUGUCCAUUUUUCCACAGCAGCUGCCAGGGAGCUCACCAUGGGCACUGGGCAGCUGUUGAAGAUGGUCGGGGUGAUGGCAGAAGGGACCCCACAAGGUGCUGACCCAGCCCCCCAGCCAGUUUUCUUGUUAGGCAGCCAGCAGUCCUUUGGCAUGUGCACACCUUUGGGCUCAGAGCAACUGAUUUUACUCCGAGGUUGAGUGGUUGGUAGAUUGUUAUCUGGAUUGUUUGGUUCUUGUGAUUCUGCCUGUAACCAGGAAGGCCAGAGCUCAGGGCUGGGGAAGUAGUACUGCUGCCUGAAUGGUAAGCUAGUCCUCUCUGGAGAUGCCCUCUCUGGGGGUGAUGUGGAGAUGCUGUAUUCUGUGCUGUCUGAUAAUCCCCCACCCCCGACAUUCCUGGACAACCUCUAGUGCUCCACCUGCCUAGUGGCCAUCAGGGUCCUUUUGGCAGUGGCCCUAGGGCUUCAGUCUCAAUUCCUAACCUGUAGCAACAAUAGCUUUACAAUGGGAGCCUCUCCCAGUAGUGGCCCCCGGGAGAGAUUGAUCUGGUCGUGUGUACUUAAACUUUUUUUUUUUUAAUUACAGAAAUAAUAUAGUCUAAUACUUAGGAAAAAAG